CUGCCAGAGGUACACCUCGUGGUGAUUGUCAACAAGGAAAAGUGCUGCGAGGGCGGAGCAGAGCAGACGUCUAGUCAGGGGCUCUGCCCCACACCGAACCGACGCCUCCCUCCCUGCCGCCUCGGUCAGUGCGAGAAUCCGCUCGGCAGGUAAACUCGGGGCCACAGGGAGGGUGCCCCUGAUGUCUUGGCCCUUUGAACGGUGAAGCAGGAGAUGCCUCGAGGCAGAGAGAUGGCGUUGAUGAGGUGGGCUCUUUCCUCCCUCUCCCCCCAUUCCUUCCCCCUUUGCCCCUCCUGCAGCCGCCCUCUGGGUCCUGGCCGGUUGAGAAGAGUGGGACAGAUGACACACGUGACCCCCCCCAAGGGGUUGUCAGCGCCGCUGAUCCCCAAAAUGCGUACUGAACGUUGGGGAGUACAUCACGCUGGCCCUUGGGUCAUCAGUGGUCAUGCCCCACGUAGGACUGCUCUGCAGGCGAUCUGAGUCCAUGGUUCUUUCAGGGAGGAAUGGGCUUUGGAAAUCGAGUGUUGCCCCCUUUUCCCUUCAGCAGACCGUCAGCCUGACUCUUCCACGUGGUCAAGGGCUCUCACACCCGCCAGCCCAGCUCGCCUGAGUCCUUUCCUAGCCUGCAUCUCAGAAUUCUGUGAUAAUCACAUGCCUGAAAAGCCCAGCGGAGGCUGCCCCACCUGAGCCGCAGGACGGAGAGAAACAUGAUGGCUGGAGCAGGGGCAGCCACAUGGAGACUAUGAAGCAGCAAGCUGGAGGGAAGGCUGAGAGAACAGCAGAGACUCAUGCCCGACACAGUUGCGCUCAACCUACUCUUAACUGACGAAUUUGGAUUUGUGACACUGAAAAAAACCUGCGGACAAACCGAAUAGCCUAGAAAUAUUGAAAAAAUAAGAAAAUUUAGCUUCGCUUUCAGACAAUUACAUUACCGUACAGUAUGCCUCUCUCUAAUUGGGAAAGCUGUGUAUCAGCCUAUCAUCACGGCGUCUUGUUCCAGAGGUUCACGCUGUGCUCAGCUCGCUUCCUGGAAUUCUCCCCCCUCCUUCACUUCUCUCCAAGCCACACCUACACCUCCAAGGCUCCGGGGUCCAGGGGCGAACCUGAUGGGCCUCAGUGCCACGUGAGACGUGGCUGAACCCUGUCUAUCAUCUAGCUUGCUGGCCCUCAGAAUGAUGACGGGAGAUGAAGCAUCUCGCUUCACAGCUGUCCACCAACUGAAAGCCAAGGACUCCAGGUUGCCAAUUCAAAAGCCAAAUCACACCUUCAGAGAAGCUGCUGGGGGUCCUGUGCCGUUUAUGGAGGCAGGAUCCAGUUUAAGGUCGAGUCAUCUUGCGGCCUCCUUUAUGCAAAGCUGCUUUCUGAAGGCAACUCCAUGAUAGGAAGGGGGAGGGAGGCACCCAGGAAGCUGAUUUAUACGGCAGACAUCAGGAGGCCUUCGCUGGUCAGGCCGCAGCUACGUGAAGAGAGAGUUACUCUAAAGCCCACGCCUAUAAAAAUACCUUCCCGGAGAGGAGAACGGAGUCGAAUUCCAGCAGCAAAAGUGACUCACUCUGUGUGUUGUCUUCCUCCUCCUCCCG